UCCCUGCUGGACUAGUGGCUAGUACGCGGCACUCUGAUCGCCGCAGUCCGGGUUCGAUUCCUGGUCAGGGAG
rnacentral:tRNA from 1 species